GGUCAGAGGGUGACCGUGGAAAUUUAGCGGCAAAGUUAGUUUCUCGCGAAAGACGCUUCUUAAAACAUGGAGAGUAAAUGGUGGAGCGGUGGAGGAGCAAAGAUAAAGGCGAAAAAAGAAAAGGGAUUCAGAGAAACUGAAAUUCAGACAAACAUAUCGUCUAUCUAGACUUUUUCCAAAAGUCGGCUACUCGGCUUGCUAGCAUUAGCAGAGCCAGAGGAGGUCUAUGCUAACGUCGCAGAACAUGAACAACAUGAGCUCAGCUGGAUAUCAGCAUGAAACAGAGGCAGAGAGCCACAGCCCUGCGACAGACACCUGUCCACUUGGCCCACCGUCAUCUCCAGCUGAAUAAGAGUCGGACCUUGUCAGGAUUUAAAUGAUGUAGUGGAGGAGUCUUUGACAUGAGAAGCCUGACAGGACUGUAUACCUAGGCAAUGGCUUCCACAAGUUCACCUGGCACUCCCGAAACGCAGGUAAGUCUGCUUCUCUCUGCCGCUGUUUUUUUUCUCCCCCACAUAG